GCGCCCGUAGCUCAGCUGGAUAGAGCGUCUGACUACGAAUCAGAAGGUCGGGAGUUCGAAUCUCUCCGGGCGUACCA
rnacentral:tRNA from 1 species